rnacentral:rRNA from 1 species
UUGAACGCUGGCGGCAUGCUUUACACAUGCAAGUCGGGCGGCAGCGCGGGGGCAACCCUGGCGGCGAGCGGCGAACGGGUGAGUAACAUAUCGGAACGUACCCAGACGUGGGGGACAACUAGUCGAAAGACUAGCUAAUACCGCAUACGCCCUGAGGGAGAAAGCGGGGGAUCGCAAGACCUCGCGAGUUUGGAGCGGCCGAUAUCUGAUUAGCUAGAUGGUGGGGUAAAGGCCCACCAUGGCGACGAUCAGUAGCUGGUCGGAGAGGAUGAUCAGCCACACGGGAACUGAGACACGGUCCAGACUCCGACGGGAGGCAGCAGUGGGGAAUUUUGGACAAUGGGGGAAACCCUGAUCCAGCCAUUCCGCGUGAGUGAAGAAGGCCUUCGGGUUGUAAAGCUCUUUCGGCAGGAACGAAACGGCGGAAUCUAAUACAUUCCACUAAUGACGGUACCUGAAGAAGAAGCACCGGCUAACUACGU